UAGUGUUCAGUCGAAAGAGCUGGUCUUGUGGUAUCUGUUUCUAGAGUUGCUGGUCCAAUAUCGAAAUUCAUAUUUUAUAAAGAGUGGAAAGUUUGUGUAAAUUUCGGUCGAAGUGGUACAAAAACAUUUUAUUCCUUUCAUUUUUGCACAACAAUCUCGACAUAUUUUAAUUAGUCAGAACAAAGGAAUUGUAAAUAUAGUAUUGUUUUGCACAUUCGUCCGUCCGAGUAAUAGAUUCGCUUUGUCUGUAAGUUCUUUUAAUCAGAUAUUGUCAAGAAAGACUGGGUCGUGGUUAUAUUUUUUUAAUAAAAACGUACGAGUACUAAGGUUCUAAGGACCACAUUUUUGCAUGAGUUACCGCGCCCAAAAUACAUCAGCUUUGAAACUUGCAAAAUUUUUGGGAAAAAAAACAGAGCGAUUUUCUUUUGUGAAUUCUAACGAUAUUUUCCUAACAAGCUAAUUCGACAUGAACAUGGGUUAGAGGAGAGAAAGAUAAAAAUAAAAAGAAAAAUUUAUCACUUACUUAGAUUUUUGUUUUGAUAAAGUUCUAUAAAUACCAAGAACUGUGCGUGAUAACAUUUUAAUGAUUUCAAAACAUCGAAAACGGUUGUGAAACAGUUUUGAUGAAAUUUUCUUUAAGAAAAUGGUGAAAGUAUGUGUGUGAGUGCGUUGAUGGUGUUCAUCGUCUAACUUGGUUUUAUAAUGUCAUGAAAACAAUUAACAUGAAAAUUCAUAGGCAUGUUGCAGUGCAUAUCGACCCCAAAAAAAUUCGUUGAAUUAAACUGGUUGUGACAAAUCAAUGCAAACACUUCCAACAAACGAUUUUACGGCAUGUUUACAACUAUCCAACCGAUGAAGCAGUCCACAAAGCGUUGGUAGUAGGGGAACUAUAUCUUAAAUAUAAGCGUUGUGAUCAUAGUUACUGCUUGUCUCGUUUAAUGCGUUCCUUACAAGAGCUCGUCUCAUCGGAAGUAACAAUAAAUCCGAACACCCAAAAAUUUGAAAGUGAAAUAUCAAUGAUGGCUGAACAUCUUUACAAUGUGCUGUAUUUAUUGUGUCCACCGGCUCCACCAGCUAUUGAUAUACCUAACGUGGCUGUUGCUGGAUAACAAUAGUUUGCAGUAAGAGAUCGGUAACAAUUCAUAGAAAUUUUAAACAAUUCAAAGAAUUCGUUAUCACUAACACUUCAAUGAUUCCUUAAAUUCCAAGAA